UACGUAGGGACCGAGCGUUGUCCGGAAUCAUUGGGCGUAAAGAGCGUGUAGGCGGCCACUUAAGUCCUGCGUGAAAUCCUGCGGCUCAACCGCAGGCGGUCGUGGGAAACUGGAUGGCUAGAGUGCGGGAGAGGAGAGUGGAAUUCCUGGUGUAGCGGUGGAAUGCGCAGAUAUCAGGAAGAACACCCGUGGCGAAGGCGGCUCUCUGGAACGCAACUGACGCUGAGACGCGAAAAGCGUGGGGAGCAAACAGG
rnacentral:rRNA from 1 species